rnacentral:rRNA from 1 species
AGUGAACGCUGGCGGUAGGCCUAACACAUGCAAGUCGAACGGCAGCACAGUAAGAGCUUGCUCUUACGGGUGGCGAGUGGCGGACGGGUGAGGAAUACAUCGGAAUCUACUUUUUCGUGGGGGAUAACGUAGGGAAACUUACGCUAAUACCGCAUACGACCUACGGGUGAAAGCAGGGGAUCUUCGGACCUUGCGCGAUUGAAUGAGCCGAUGUCGGAUUAGCUGGUUGGCGGGGUAAAGGCCCACCAAGGCGACGAUCCGUAGCUGGUCUGAGAGGAUGAUCAGCUGCGCUGGGACUGCGCCACUCACCCGACUCCUACGGGAGGCAGAGGUGGGGUAUAUUGGACAAUGGGAUAAAGCGUGAUACAGCAAUGGCGGGUGAGUGCCGGAGGGCGUAGGGUUGUAAAGUUCUUUUACCCCGGAUGAGAAUGACAGUGCCGGGGGAAUAAGCUACGGCUAACUCCGUG